rnacentral:rRNA from 1 species
AUUGAACGCUGGCGGCAUGCCUUACACAUGCAAGUCGAACGGCAGCACGGGGCAACCUGGUGGCGAGUGGCGAACGGGUGAGUAAUGCAUCGGAACGUACCUUUCAGUGGGGGAUAACGUAGCGAAAGUUACGCUAAUACCGCAUAUUCUGUGAGCAGGAAAGCAGGGGAUCGCAAGACCUUGCGCUGAUUGAGCGGCCGAUGUCAGAUUAGCUAGUUGGUGAGGUAAAGGCUCACCAAGGCGACGAUCUGUAGCGGGUCUGAGAGGAUGAUCCGCCACACUGGAACUGAGACACGGUCCAGACUCCUACGGGAGGCAGCAGUGGGGAAUUUUGGACAAUGGGGCAACCCUGAUCCAGCCAUGCCGCGUGAGUGAAGAAGGCCUUCGGGUUGCAAAGCUCUUUCGGCCGGGAAGAAAUCGCACGGGCUAAUACCCUGUGUGGAUGACGGUACCGGAAUAAGAAGCACCGGCUAACUACGUGCCAGCAGCCGCGGUAACAC